rnacentral:rRNA from 1 species
GACGAACGCUGGCGGCGUGCUUAACACAUGCAAGUCGAACGGAAAGGCCCUGCUUUUGUGGGGUGCUCGAGUGGCGAACGGGUGAGUAACACGUGAGUAACCUGCCCUUGACUUUGGGAUAACUUCAGGAAACUGGGGCUAAUACCGUAUAGGAGCUCCUGCUGCAUGGUGGGGGUUGGAAAGUUUCGGCGGUUGGGGAUGGACUCGCGGCUUACCAGCUUGUUGGUGGGGUAGUGGCUUACCAAGGCUUUGACGGGUAGCCGGCCUGAGAGGGUGACCGGCCACAUUGGGACUGAGAUACGGCCCAGACUCCUACGGGAGGCAGCAGUGGGGAAUAUUGCACAAUGGGCGGAAGCCUGAUGCAGCAACGCCGCGUGCGGGAUGACGGCCUUCGGGUUGUAAACCGCUUUCGCCUGUGACGAAGCGUGAGUGACGGUAAUGGGUAAAGAAGCACCGGCUAACUACGUG